rnacentral:ncRNA from 1 species
AUUUGAUGUUGGUGUGAACCUUACAAUACAAUCUUAGUACUAACUUGUUUCUAAUGCUACUAUGUAAUUCGUGCAUUACUGCUAGCCAACAUGAAUAAUAUAUA